rnacentral:rRNA from 1 species
UGCAGUCGUACGAAGGCUUCGGCCUUAGUGGCGCACGGGUAAGUAACACGUGGGAACCUGCCUUUCGGUUCGGGAUAACGUCUGGAAACGGACGCUAACACCGGAUACGCCCCCCAGAGAGAUUUGGGUGGGGAAAGUUUACGCCGAGAGAGGGGCCCGCGUCCGAUUAGGUAGUUGGUGGGGUAACGGCCUACCAAGCCGACGAUCGGUAGCUGGUCUGAGAGGAUGAUCAGCCACACUGGGACUGAGACACGGCCCAGACUCCUACGGGAGGCAGCAGUGGGGAAUAUUGGACAAUGGGGGCAACCCUGAUCCAGCAAUGCCGCGUGAGUGAUGAAGGCCUUCGGGUUGUAAAGCUCUUUCGCACGCGACGAUGAUGACGGUAGCGUGAGAAGAAGCCCCGGCUAACUUCGUGCCAGCAGCCGCGGUAAUACGAAGGGGGCUAGCGUUGUUCGGAAUUACUGGGCGUAAAGGGCGCGUAGGCGGCCCGUUCAGUCAGAUGUGAAAGCCCCGGGCUCAACCUGGGAAUUGCAUUUGAUACUGGCGGGCUUGAGUUCCGGAGAGGAUGGUGGAAUUCCCAGUGUAGAGGUGAAAUUCGUAGAUAUUGGGAAGAACACCGGUGGCGA